CCCUUAGAUGUUCUGGGCCGCACGCGCGCUACACUGAUGCAUUCAACGAGCCUAGCCUUGACCGAGAGGUCCGGGUAAUCUUUGAAACUGCAUCGUGAUGGGGCUAGAUUAUUGCAAUUAUUAAUCUUCAACGAGGAAUGCCUAGUAAGCGUGAUUCAUCAAAUCGCGUUGAUUACGUCCCUGCCCUUUGUACACACCGCCCGUCGCUCCUACCGAUUGAGUGUGUUGGUGAGGAGUUCGGAUUGGCUCUUAGUGGUGGUUCGCCACCACCUAGAGCUGAGAAGUUCUCCAAACCGCCCCACUUAGAGGAAGGAGAAGUCGUAACA
rnacentral:rRNA from 1 species